ACAACUUUUAACAAUGGAUCUCUUGGCUCUCGCAUCGAUGAAGAACGCAGCGAAAUGCGAUAAGUAAUGUGAAUUGCAGAAUUCAGUGAAUCAUCGAAUCUUUGAACGCACCUUGCGCUCUCUGGUAUUCCGGGGAGCACACCUGUUCGAGUGUCA
rnacentral:rRNA from 2 species